CCGAGUGAGGGCCCCUGGCCCGACCUCCAACCCUUUGUUAUCAAAACCACUGUUGCCUCGGGGGCGACCCGGGCCCGUCGGUCUGGGGCCCCCGGCGGACAAUUUUAAAACACUGCAUCUUUGCGUCGGGUUUAAAAGUUUAAUUGAUUA
rnacentral:misc_RNA from 1 species